rnacentral:rRNA from 1 species
UGCCAGCCGCCGCGGUAAUACGAAGGUCCCGAGCGUUGUUCGGAAUCACUGGGCGUAAAGGGAGCGUAGGCGGUUUGGUAAGUCAGAUGUGAAAUCUUGGGGCUCAACCCCGAAACUGCAUCCGAUACUGCCUGACUUGAGUAAUGGAGGGGUAACUGGAAUUCUCGGUGUAGCAGUGAAAUGCGUGGAUAUCGAGAGGAACACUCGUGGCGAAGGCGAGUUACUGGACAUUUACUGACGCUGAGGCUCGAAGGCCAGGGUAGCGAAAGGGAUUAGAUA